ensembl:lncRNA
CCCCCCCAACCACCCCAAAAUCCAACCCCCACGACCCCAAAACACCCAUACACAAACACACAGGGAUCCCACGCUCUUUAUUCCUCCCCAUCCAACCCCCCACCCCACAUCAGAGCCCCUUAUUUCUCCCCAUAACCAUCAGGGGGGCAAAGAGGUGGGAACCCCCAUUUUGGGACGGCCCCCGCCUCCCAGAUUUUUGGGGGAGGGGGGAGUUACACCAAUUUCUUGGCCUCGAAGAAGCUUUUGAGGUGCCUCAUCUGCCAGAUGCCGGUGAGGAUGAGGAUGACGGUCUGGGCGAUGGACCACCAGAGCACGCGCUGGUUGGUGCUCUCACUUGUCAUCCUGAAGCGUUCCUCUCGGUACUGCAGGACAAACGGCGCUCAGGGGGAGGGGAAAUGAGGGGGGGACGGGAGAGACCCCCCCCAAAGAUGGGGGAUACGAUGGGAGACCCUAAGGGUGAGGGAGGAAAUGGGGAGAGAGCCCUGGGCUGUGGGGAAGGAAACAGGAGAAGCCCCUGGGACCAUAGGGGUGAACCCUGGGAAUGGGGUAUGGGGUGUGAGAGACCCCAAGGGGCAGGGAGGGGAAGGGAGGUGGGGGGGCAAUGGGAAAGACCCCCGGGUGCUGGUGGAGGCACUGGGAGAGAGCAGCAGGGACUGAAGGGAGAAACCCUGGGGCUGAGGUGGCAAUGGGGAGACCCCCAAUGA